rnacentral:rRNA from 1 species
GAUGAACGCUGGCGGCGUGCCUAAUACAUGCAAGUCGAGCGAACAGAUGAGGAGCUUGCUCCUCUGACGUUAGCGGCGGACGGGUGAGUAACACGUGGAUAACCUACCUAUAAGACUGGGAUAACUUCGGGAAACAGGAGCUAAUACCGGAUAAUAUAUUGAACCGCAUGGUUCAAUAGUGAAAGACGGUUUUGCUGUCACUUAUAGAUGGAUCCGCGCCGCAUUAGCUAGUUGGUAAGGUAACGGCUUACCAAGGCAACGAUGCGUAGCCGACCUGAGAGGGUGAUCGGCCACACUGGAACUGAGACACGGUCCAGACUCCUACGGGAGGCAGCAGUAGGGAAUCUUCCGCAAUGAGCGAAAGCCUGACGGAGCAACGCCGCGUGAGUGAUGAAGGUCUUCGGAUCGUAAAACUCUGUUAUUAGGGAAGAACAAAUGUGUAAGUAACUAUGCACGCCUUGACGGUACCUAAUCAGAAAGCCACGGCUAACUACGUG